CGCGCCACGACUUGAAGUUUUCCACCUCCAGCUGCUUUAAAUACACCAUUGUAUAACUCUUUAUUGAGACCCUGCUUUAAUUCCGUGCUAGAAUGAAGUUCGAGAGACGGAGACGGGAGAGGCGGGAAAAUACGUAGUACUCAGCCAACCAGGUCUCGGAGGCCGUGGGGACGAUCUGACUCGCUGGCAGGAGGAACCCGUAGCGCCCGGUGUCCCUCAGCUCCAACGCAAAGGAGUAUUUAAUGCCGGCGUCGUAGGACCAGUCGAUGCUGCCGCCGCUGGCUGGGUCUGAGGGCAGAAAGCCAGUGAUCCAGAGGUGGAACACGAACAAAUACAUGCACACAGUCCACAGCUGCAGAAGCUGAGCUGCCGUCAGGCAAAGAUACUGACAGAUGAUGUUGCAGAUGUUUCCAACUCUGUAACUGGUUCCAUAGAGUGAAGCCAGUUUCUGGGCCGCUGCUCUGCCAACGGAGUCCUGUGAGGAAGAACCAGCACCACACGCUUUCUCCUCAUUGAGAAGCUCCUGGAUGAGACGAGCAGGAGGCGUGAGCGGCGGCGCCGUCGCCUCAUCGCGGCGCUACGACGCGGAGCUACGAACCUGAAGGUUGCUAAUGAGGACGCUGAAGGGGAGGUCGUGGGCGAGGAGGUAGCUCCUCACUGGCUCCAAACUGCCCCGAGGAACCCGGACGUCGACAGGAAGCCCAGUGGAGACCGGGCGGCGCCAGAACUCCAGCUGGGACCAGAGGAGUGACAUCAAGGAUGAAGCUGCAGCUCAGUAGCAUGUGGAGAAUCCUGUUGCACCACCUCCACCUUCACCUCCACCUCCACCUCCACCUCCACCUUCACCUCCACCUUUACCUUCACCUCCACCUUUACCUCCACCUUUACCUUCACUUUCACCUUUACCUCCACCUUCACCUCCACCUUCACCUCCACCUUUACCUCCACCUUUACCUUCACUUUCACCUUUACCUCCACCUUCACCUCCACCUUUACCUCCACCUUUACCUACACCUUUACCUUCACCUCCACCUUUACCUCCACCUUUACCUCCACCUUUACCUUCACCUUCA